GUUAGGUUAAACACACUAAAACCCCCUGGAUAAGCUGGUUUCUUAAAGAAACAGUUAAUGCUUACAAAUGGAGUUCUAAAAGGAAAAGACAAUUUGUUCUAAUGACAAGUUCAGUUUUCAGCAGAUACAACAUCUUUGUUUGUAUGUGGUGCUGAGGAUCGAACCCGGGCUGC